UGGAUGCUUUUGAUCAUUUUCUUUAUAUGUGUUUUUAAAAAAUUAGAAGAAAACCAUACUUCAGUUUUGACAGCAUCUAAUGAAGCAUUGCUCUUUGGCAAUUUGCCAUUUAAUUAUUUAAGCCUCACAUGAUCUGUUUAGCAAAUGGUGGGUGUGCCUUUGAGGAGAAAUCAAAAGACUUCUGGUAUUUUAUUAUUGUUUGCAUUUUGUAAAAGUGAGUAGGGGUACGUGAACAGUACUUUUCUCAUUCAGAACGCAGAUGCAUCCUUUAAAGCUGUGAAGGGAUUGGUAAGAAGGCCUUAUAUUAAGUGAUGAGCAUAUCCUCCACCAUUUGUCCCCACUUUCAGUCCUGAUUAUCACAAUUGCCUUUUGUGCUUUUCUUAAGUGUCCCUAAACCUGUGGUGAACCUAUGGCACAUGUGCUGUAGCAGAAUGGUUUUAUCAUUGAAAACUCUGAAACAUUCACUAUCACUGCCCUAUAUCAUAGUUUAAGAUUCUGAGCUACCUUUUUUGCUGGGUGUUGUAGUUAGGGGUUGCAAGGAGAACAAUUAUAUAUAGGACAUAUAAUUUAUAGUAUUGUAUUUAUAAUGGUCAUCCAACAAGUCAAAUAUAAAGAAAGUGUGAAAAACCUGUCCACAAUACUAAAGACCUGGAAAAUCCAACUGAGGCCCUAGAUCCUAUUGCACUAACCUUCAUGAAUUCAGCUGAAAACCUAGAGCCCGUGAUAAUUCCUCUCAUGAGUCCAACUGAAGGCCCAGAGCCUAUAAUGACUCAUGCAAGUCUGCUUUACAGAUCUGUGCUGAGAAGCCCCAAAGGUCAGUGGUAGAAGCUAGAAAGUCAAUGGAGUGAACAGUGAAGUACAUAUCUGGAAGCUAGUGUUAUAAGCUUCUCCUGGAGAUUAAAUAGUAUAUAUCUUCCCUUUGGAGCAAGGAAGGGAUACUCAAAGUAAGGACCAAACCUCCCCUGAAGUGAACCAUUGCCAUUCUCAGUGUUGUAGUCAGGGGUUGCAAGGACAACAAUUAUAUACAGCACACAGAAUUUGUAAUACUACUUUAUGAUGAUCACCUGGAGUUAAAUACAAGAAAGUGAAGAAAAUCUGUCCACAGCACUAAAGACCUAAAAAAUCCAGGCAAGGGCCUGGAUGCCCCAGUAAAUGUCCUGUGUGAGUCCAGCUAAAACCACCUUGAACCCGUGACAACCUCCCCCAUGAGUCCAACUAGAGGUCUAGUGCCCAUGACAAAUGACUCAUGCAAGUCUGUUUUAUGGAUCUGUGUUGGGAAACCCCAGAGAUCAGCGGUGGAAGCUAGAAAGUCUACGCCAGGAGGAUGAAGGAUCUGUUCCAACAGGUUGAGUGAGGGUUCUACACUGGAGCUAAGAAGCAACACUCAAUAUAAGAACCAGGGUUCAGGGGCCAGGGAUUUAGCUCAUUGGCAUAAGCACUUGUCAGGCAUGUGCAAGGUUGAGUUUGAUCCUUGGUAAACAAACAAACAAAAGAACCAGGGCUCCUCUGAAAAUUACCACAGCCAUCCUCAGUGACAAUGAGGUCCUGAGCUCCUCCAGUGAUGAUAAUAUUCCAGUAUGUAUCAUGCAACCAGUGCAACAAACCUCUUGAAGAUUAAACAGCACACAUCUUCCCCUCCAGAGCCAGGAAGCAAUGCUCAGUGUAAGGACCAGGGCUUCUCCAAAGUGAACCAUAGCCAUUCUGAGUGACAAGGUUCUGAGCUCCUCUGAUAAUGGCCAAACUCAUACUGGGGAAGACAGCAUGACAAGAUCCAUCCUCCAGGAGAACAAGUGGUUCCAAACAACAACACUUGCGAACCCACAAUGCCGCAUUCUUCCUCUCCAUGUCUCCUUUUAUGCUGGCAACUUUCAUCAAAGGUGUGCCACCUACACCCAGCACCAUGCUGAUUUAGUUCAGCUGGUAUUAAGUUCACCACCAGAUUUUAAUCCAUAACACUGAACAACAAGGUUCUGAAUUCCUCCGAUGAUAACAGCUGAGUUCAUAUCAGGGGAGCUAGCAUGGGAAGCUCCUCCAGAAGAGCCAACAGCUCCAAACAGCAACACUUAGAAUCCAUAAUGCUACUCUUCCUCUAUCAGUCUCUUUUUAUGCUGACAGUAGUCCUCCAAUGGGCCAUCUACACUUAGCACCCACACUGAUUAAGUUCAGCUUGGUGUUUUAAGCUGAUCACCAGUUACUAAUACACCACACUUGAAGUAUGUUGUAUUAAAGUCUGCUGGGGCACCCACUUGUGGAUAGGGUUGUACACAUGUGUAUACCCACAUGCACAGCAUAUACACACAAAGUAAACUCUGAGAAACUUGCCUUGACUAUGAACUUCUGAAUGGCAGAGCUGAUGCCACGAUCUGCCUCUCUUGCCAGGUUUCUCACCCAUGCAGUCUCCUUGCAUGGAAGCAACAGAACCAACUACUUCAUUUGCAGGACCCAGUGUAAAGUAGCAAGAAGGGACCCUUGUUCAAAUUUCAAGACAUCUAUAGUGAAAAUGGGUUCAAAAAUAGGAUCCAUCUGUAAAUCCUGUAUACCAGACCUAGGAGUCAUGGUUAGAAGCUCCUGUUCCAGUAGGGCCCCACUCUUAGGGAGAAAGAAUUUUGUGGAAAACUCUUGACAUGAUUUAAAAAUAGUCACUGGCUAGUAUACUGUGAAAAUAUCUACCUUAACACCCAUACAAGGGCAUUAAGCUAGAGGAACACUGGAAUCCUGACACGUCCUGAGCUCCAUCUCACUAAACCUCUCUAAAUGUUAAGGAAGCAGAAGAAAGCUGCUGUUGGUCAUGUCCCUCUACUGCUGCCCUGUUGGUGGUGUAAGAACCGUUUAAAACUGAUUUGUUCUUUAGCCUGAACUACUUUUAUUACCCUUUAAAUCUGGUUAUUAUGCUUUAUCUGUGGGACUCACUGAAAAUUUGCUUACAGAGGGAAUAAUUAGUAUUUUUAGUUGUAGAAACUGUGUUUUAUGUGGCCACAUGGGAUUUUAGAGUUUGUGGUACUUUUUAAUGUAUAUAAAAAUGAACACACAAAGCAGAUUCACACUAUAUAGUAAUGGAGUCCUAUAAAGAAUUAGUUUUGUAGAUUUGUUCUUGAAAUAGUGGAGGGAAGUGCAUUCUUGUAAAUUGAGUCAUUGCUAGAAAAUUACACGUGAUUUAUUUUUAAAUAGUUUUCUGAUUGCAGAAGUCUUUAACACAUAAAAAAUUCCAUUUGUACAAAAAUAUAAAAUUCAGAAAAAUAAAAGUUUCUUGUGCUAUCACCUCACCCUAAUUGUCAUAUAUUACUUUUGUUCUUUUAAAAUGCAAAUUGUCUCCUCAUGUGUCUAUAACCACAGCAUUUUACAUACAAAUUUAAAGACUGCAUUUUUUAGCUUACAGAACCUUAGGCUUCUAUCCAUGUGAAUCCAUAUGGUUUCAUCUUUUUUUUUGCUGGAGGCAUAGUAUUUCUGUGAAUAAGUAUAAUGGUUUACUGAGCACCCAUUGAUACACUUUUUUUUUUUUUUUUUAGUGAAAUCAGCACUGAAUGUUUGAAUACUUUGAUAUGUGGGGGCUUUAGCCAUGAUAAUGGCCCUGUCCUUCAUUUUCAGAAGCACUAUGAUAUAAAUUCUAGCAAUACUAUUGUUCGCUGAUUAGAAUGACAUUGGGCUGGUUUCUUGAGUUCAAUUUCAGCAUAUGUAGAGAUGGGGACAGCUAUCACAAAGAGAAUGAGAGAUGGGAUGGUAGUUACUAUUGUCUUCCCUAAUUUGGAACUUGAGGAUCUAAAACGCCUUCAUCAUCCUGUAAUGAUUUGAUUAGUUCUAUAAUAUGCAAUAAGUAUAUAAAGUGGAUGAAGAUGGGGACAACUAUUUGUAAGAAACUAGAGACAGUUAGAUAGACAGGGAAGAUCUCCAGUGGACUUGCUUUGAAAUCUGUAUUUCUUUAAUUUUUUUAACUGUUUUGUUCUGUUUUGAUAUGUUUAAUCUUACCCUCUUUGAGAUGUAAAACAAAUGUGUAGGACUGAUAACCAUAUUACUGAGCUUUUGUUUAAUCAUAGAGCAGAAUGGUUUGUAGUGUCACUUUUUGAAUGUCAUUCUAAAUACUUUAAUUCUAUAACCUGAACAGCUAUUUCUAAGAUGACAAUGUGUAACUUAUCAACCAGCAAUUUCUUACCGUUUGUUUUUCUGUAAUUUUGUAUUAUUUCUAACCCUUUUUUUUAAUCUCCAUGUAUUUUUUUUGUUUCCUUUUCUUUAAAUAAAAAAAAAUGUCAAAAAAAAAUUCAAAAUGCACACAGAGUCUAUUGAGUAUUGCAACAAAAGUAACAGUCUCAUCCAGAUUUUUGUUUCCCAGGAUAUUCAGUGAACACUCCAUCUUUCUUGAGCCAUUGGGUUGAAAGAGGAGGAACUGACCUGGAGUCAGGGAUUAAAAGUCAUCACUUAGUAUUUACUAUGCAGCUUGAAAGAGCAAGGAUAAACUUUUAAGGAUUUAUAAUAUGUGAAUCCUAAGAGUGAGAACUAGGAUAGAUUUGCUUAUAUGGUUAAGAAGGAUAUUUUGGGCUUAUUUUAUGUGCCAGGCAUAGUGCUCAUUUCUGGGAUGUAGAUAUGAUGUUUUCAGGCUGAAGUCUUUUUCUUUUUGUGUGUAAGUGUUUCCACAUUUAGGAGCCAACAUUUAAACAGGUGUAAUAAUAAUUAACCUGUUAGAAAGAAUUUUUACAGAUUAAGUUAAUACUGGCUUAGAAACUUAAGAUAGGCGAUGUUCGAUGCGUAUCUCAUAGUCUGUUCAGGCUGUUAUAAAAAAAUAUCACAAUUUGAGUUGCUUAUAAACCACUGAAAUUUCUUUCUUAUAGUUUGGAGGCUGUGAAAUCUAAGACUUGGACACCAGCAUAUUGGUGUCUGGUGAAGAUCCGUACAAUGCCAAGAUUUUUGCUAUUCCCACAUAGGAGAAGAGAUGAGGGAUCUUUCUGGGGUCCUUUUCAGAUGGGAAUAAGUUCUUUUCUUUCAAGUUCCACCCUUACAAUCUAAUCACCUUAUAAAAGCUCUGUCUCUAGCUACCAUCACAUAGGAUAUUAUCUUUCAACAUAGCAAUCUGAGAGAACACAAACAGUUCUAAAAUGUAGCAUAAAUGAAAUCAAAUAGUAUUACAUAACCUUUGGGAAGUUUGUUUUUAUUUUUUUUUACCCCCCAAUCAGGUUAAUUUUGUAGACAUUCAUUGAGGUUCUUGUUUCAGAGGUUUGUUCCUUUUUAAUACUAAGUAGCAUUCUGUAAUACUGAUGUACCACAGUUUGUUUAACUGUCAUCUGUUGAAGGCCUUCUGGGUUGUUUCAACCACUCUACAUCCUUUUGUAACCAGAUGUUGGUGUGAAUGUUACAUCUUCAUUUCCAGGGAGAUACUGUUGAGUUAUAUUUUAGUUGAGUGAUUCAUCUUUUCAGAAAUUGACAAAUGUUCUCAAGGGACUGUACUAUUUUACAUAACUUCUCAUAGUACAUGAAUAACCAUUCUAGGCAGCAUUUGGUAGUGGUAUUUUUUUCUUUUAUUCUAGUCAUUCUGAUAGGGGUGCUGUGAUAUUUCAUUCUGAUUUUAAUUUGCAUUUCCCUAGCAGCUGAAGAUGUUAAACAUCUUUAUUUGCUUACUUGCCAUCUGUGUAUUGUCGUUGGUGAAUUGUUCUUUAUGCCUGCUGUGGUCUGAAUGUCCCCUCCAAAAUUUAUGCUGAAACUUGACUCGUAUUGUUGUGGCAUUAGAGAUAGGACCUUUUGAGAAUGCACAAGGGCUCUGCUGCCGUGAAGGGGUUUGUGUGCCUUCUGAAAAGCUGAAGAAAACUAGCUUAGACCUUUUUGUCUCUCUGCCUUCUGACAUGUGAGGAUGCAGCAAAAGAGCACUCACUAGCUAGAGUGAUAGCACCUUGAUAAUGAUGUCCUAGAAUUCAAAACUGUGUGAAAAAAUAAUUUAUUGUUAUUGUUGUUAUUCAUUUAGAGGUAGAGUAUCACUUUGUUACCCAUGGUGACCUCUAACUAACUAACAAAUGUGAUCCUUGUACCUCUGCCUUCUAAGUGUCUCAGAUGCAAGUAUAUACCAAAAACCAUUUGGCUUAAGUUUUUGUUCUUUGUACUCUCUGGUAAUUUGUUUGAGUAGCACAGAUAGUAAAAGACAGUGUCUUUUGUUUAUUUUCCAAUUAGAUUAUGUAUUUUAUUACUACUGAGUUCUGAGAUUUAUCCUAGAUGCUGGUCAGUUUGAAGUGUGCUUCUCAAAUGUUUUCUCCUGUUACAAAUUCAUAUAUUCCUGAUCUUCAAUGUUAUGUUUUACAAAAUGUCUUAAUUUUGAUGAAGUGAAGUACAUCAGAGUUUCUUUUAUGAAUUGUUGGGCUGUUGGAAUGAGAUCUGAGAACUCUAUAUCCAACCCUAAGUAACAAGAUUUGCUCUUUUUUUUUUCUAAAAUUUUUUAUAUAUAUCUAUUCAAGUUGGUACUCAAAUUUAGGUUAAUUUGUAUACAAUGAUAGACUUAGGUUGAGGCUCCUCUCCCACCUGUGGAUGUUCACUUAUUUCUGAAAUACUUUUUUAAAAGACUUAUCUUUCCUACUAAAAUGCAUUGACAACUUUGUUGAAAGUCCACUAGUUAUAUUUAUUUGGUCCUGUUUUAGGGUUCUUUUUUCCCUUUCACUGGUAUAUUUGUUUAUCUUUCUACCACUACACAAUCUUAAUUUCUAUAGCUACAUAAGUUACGAAGGUGCGGAUACUAAUUUCCUUACUUUAUUCUUUUUUAAGGCACUUUAAUCUAUUUCAGUUCUUAUGCUUUCCUAUAAACAAUUUAAAAUAAUCUUGUCUUUAUUUAUAAAAAAUCUUGCUAAGAAUUUUGUUAAGCUUUUAUAUCAGUUUAAAGAGAAUUGAUGUCUUUGCUAUAUUGUCUCACAGUCCAUUAAUACAGUGUGUCUCUUCUUUUAGGUGGAUUGACUUGAUUCCUUUCAUCAUUAUUGGGUAGUUCUCUGUGUACUAUAUAAGGUUGGCAUAGAUGUUGUUAGAUUCACACCUAUUACUUCUCUUUUUUUUUUUUUUUUUUCAAUAGCAGUUAAUAGUGGCACUGGAACCUCAAUUUCAUUGUCCUACAUGUUCCUUAAAGUUGCUGUUAAUUCCAUUCUAAAUGCUUGGUAACUUUUUCUAGUGAAGCAUUGUGGACCUGGAGAUUUCUUUCUCUCUUCUUGUUGGGAUUGCUGUUUCGCCAGCUCCUCCAGCAUCAGGUUUAAGACUGAUGAGACAAAAGGAAGAGAGAGGGGACUUCCCACCACGUCCUGCCUUGUAUUUCAAGCUAGCUAGUCUGUCGUCUUUAUAACUUUGAGUCAUUUUAAGUUAUUUAUCUAUCUAUGUUAUGGUCCAAGGUUUUAUUUGUAUUAGAACAAAUGCUAACACUAAGGUGUUAAGGGAAAAUGUAUUUCUGUACCAUCUGUUCAAACUCAAAAGUCUCAGUGUUACAGAAACUUUUAAUUUUUAUGUUUACUUGAGAUGCUAAACAUAGCUAAACACACCCAUGCAUUCAUACACUGCACUUGUUUUCUGACUCUGUGCCAAUGUGUGAUGUGUUGCUUGGGAUAGGAAAAGGGAAUUGAGGUAGCACUGUUCAUCCUGGGGCACAUGAGUCACAGUACUGGUUUCUGCUCUGCAGUAAAAUUUUAAAAAUAUAGUCUUUUAGUCAUAUUCCUUCAUAAUUAUUUUAUAGACAGUUUGUACACAGGCAUUUGUCAACAGACAACAAUUUGAAUAGAAAGGUACUCAAAAAAGAAAUGGACAGAUUUGGUGGUCAAAUAGGGUCACUCCCACUGCAGAUACUAACCUCGUUGAUCGGCAAAGGAGAGAGACCCUUUCCCACAGGUACCAAGGAGUCAUAGUCCCUGUAGGAAAGGAGAAAGGCCCCACCUUGCCCCUGCUGCAGACAUCAGAACCUCAUGUGCCCAGUGGGUGAGACAACUGACUCCACAGCAACACUGAUGCCUCGUGGGCCCUGUGAGUAAGAACGAGCUCUUUAUAUACUGCUGACACCAGGGCUGUAUCCCUCCUGUGGCUCAGAGUAGCAGAAGUUAUAGCCAAAAGACUGACCUGAUUGAAGGUGACACUGAAAUCCAAGAGGAGAGUUUUACUCCAGCAAUAAAAUGUUAACUUGCUUUUAGAGACUAAGCGAUAGAAUAUGUUUGAAGACAAGCUUGGAGGGCAUGAAAGCUAAAUGGGUGUUUACAGAGAUCCACAUGGAUGCUGAGAUCCGGUCCUGUAUACUGUUGUGUGCGGCAGUAGUUAGUGGAUAUAACCUUUUCGAGGGAAAAAAUAUGAAGGAGAUAGCAUUUAAUCUAGUAGUAUCCUUGAGUCUUGUACUUCUUUCUAUAUCUACCAGAAAUUACUGAGUUACCAAAAUCAAUAUGUGGGUAGCCUUACUGUCUUCACAAAACUUACAGACCUUUUGCUCUGGUUGAGAGCAGAUCUUAGGAUUUGUCUGUUUCUAGUUGAUAUUUGAUGCCACUGUUAUUGUUGACUUUACUCGUAUACCCAAGGUAAUAUUCAGUAAGUCACCAAAUUAUGAACAAGUUCCAUUCCAAGAGAAUUGUUUGGAAGUCAGAUUCCUCCAUAAACCAACAAAAGUGAAUUUGAUAUGGUACAUCUGUGAAUGUUUGCAAUUUGAAUAUUUGUAAGGCAGAAACUUAUUGUAGUUAUUGCUGUCAAUUUGCUUUCUGUGUAUACCAAUAUCUGGAUUGCCUAUAGGUCAUAAACAUACUGGGGGCAGACUACCAAAGAACCAGGCACUGGGACAAAGCCGCAAACUCUGGCACAAAAACAAGCAAACAAAUAAUAGAAAUACAAAAAGCAUCUAUAAACUCUGAAUUUCACCAGAACCAGUUUAAUGGGUCAUGAUGGAGAAAAAAAGCAUAAGCCACACAGCAAUAAGAUCUGAAAGAUUAUCGAUGAAGGUAAAAUUGUUCAAUAUGGUGCUUAGCAAAUUUAAAGAAGAUAUAACUAAUCAGAUAAUAACCCUAAUAAAAAAAAUGAUUGGGCCAUCUAGAGAAGGCACUAAUAAAAAUCUAGUGGAACAAAAGAAAGAAAUGCUUAACAUGAGCACCCAGCAGGAAAAGAAUCCAUACAAAAGUUCCAAACAGAAGUAAAAGAACUAAAAUUUCAAUUGAAAAUGAGUGGAUAGUAGAAAUGACCAGUUUGAGGAUAGUGUCAAAUCUAAGGACAAGGUUGUGAUCAGUGAUUAAUUAAUGAGAGAUAUCUUAAAAACAACAAGAGGAAUAUUAAAAAUGGAUCCAACAACUACUAGAUGACUUGAAGAAUAGUGUAGGUCUUAGAUAAAAAGCAAAA